GCCAUCUUGGCGGACGUUUACCCAGCGCUAUUGGCGCCCACCUCACAUGGCCUAGGCCGGGCUGACUACGUCACUCCGUUUUGGCCCACGAAGCUGGCGGACGGGGUCUAUUACAAUUCUCCAGCCAUCUUGAAGUUCAGAAACACUGCUGUAACCGAGGACUUGUUACAGUAUGAUUCCAUGUCCUCCAAUUUGGGAUCCUCCAGCAGUGUCCAUGGGAGGGGAUAGAAUUGACAAGAUAGUAAGUCUUGCUUCUUUUGAACUUGAACAUGUUAUUUUCCCUCCUCCCUGGAAGCGUUUUGAUAUUUCUUUCUUGUGCCACUAGAACCAUUAGAGGCCUGCUCUGAUGUCUGAUCUUCAGAAACAGAAGAAGAAGAAUCUAAUAGAAGAAAACAUAGUAACUCGGGAUUGGUUGUUAUUUUGCUGAUGCUUCAUUACCCAGCUAGGUAAUCAUUAUCAGUAUCUUCAUUACCUAGUCAGGUAAUGAAAUGUCUGCAAGAAAACAAUCUCAGAAAGCACCAAGAACUUCACAGAAUAACCAUCUUUCUGACACUUGCCUUGAACACAGCGGGGCUUCCAAAUUGUUGAAUACUGCAGGACUGCUCAGCAAUCCAAUGAAGAGAUCAUAGAACCAGAAAAUGUUUCUUAUGGAACCUAUGACUAAAUGCAAAGAGAUCUUCCCACAGUAUUCCUGAUGAAAAGACACUUGGGCCAAGAGAUUAUGAAAUCCUGGAGCAGGUGCUACUUCUUUGGAGCAGAUAUCAGCAUCAAAAUUAGAUAAGAUGUCUAGGCUAGUAUUGUGUAUCUGAUUCCCGGUAUUUCAUUUUAUGUGUUCUUUCUCAUACCAGGAAAUGGGCAAGGAUGAACAUCAUCUGAUUUAACUAAUUUAAAAUUUAUUGUAUUUUUGUUUGCUACUCCCUCGUGCUUUUAUUUAUAAAGCUUUGAAUAUUGACUUAUCUUUCUAAGACAACUAAAAGCUCCACAACAUCAAAGAGACACAUAAGGGUGGUUCCAGUCCAAGAUCAUUGUGCCCCUCACAUAUGGAAUAGAUAAUGAACAAAAUCAGAAUGGAAGCUUUUCUGCAAUUUAAGUCCUUCCCAGUCAAGUUUUUACAAUAACGAUUUAAAACAAAUCAAAUUAUAAUGAAUAAUAAGCUAUGGAAAAAUACUCCCCCCCCACCAAUCCCAUUGCUAGUCAGCUUUAGGUUUGGUUCUUUUUUCCUUUAUUUUCAGUGCGGGGGACAUCAUCUCAUUAUGGAAGGUAUAAUAUGCACAGAUGGCUUCUUUACAUGGAAUCAAAACAUGAUAAAGUCCAAAUGGACUAACUUACAGUACAAACACGUAUCACUACUGCUGAAAUAUCUACAGCAUCAAUGGGAAAAAAUGCUUAAAUGAGGGGACUUUGGAGAUCUUGUCUAUUAAUAGUAAAUUGGCUUCUUCUUCUAUUUCUGUAUUGGAAAAGAACUUUAUCUCUUGUUUCUCUUUUCUUUGGUGCGUGUUCAAAGUUUUUAACUCCCACUUCCCCAAGUAGUGGUAUAAAAGUGGUAAAGCAUUCUAACCAUCUGGGUUUGCAAUCACAACUGCAACUAGCCUUUAACUGGCAGGCGUUUGUUCAUCUGAACCAUUAAAGCAACAUUAGCUGCAUCCUGACCGAUAAGACACUGAAGUAUCCCCCCCAAUCUAUUAAUCCAGCCUUACCAAAACUAAUGUGAAUCACCAGUAUCGAACCUUAUCUUACAAUAACUUCAGUGCAAUUAUUUCCUGGGCAAUUGGACAACACAAUCCAUGGUAUCAUCUAUCAUCAAACAACAAAGUAAUUCACUCCCUCACUUUCAGCAUCAUUUAAAAGGGUCACUUUUCAUCUCUAAUUGGUAAGAACACACAAUAGGUUUUGUAAUCCUUCUGUUUUCUUACUCUUUGCAAGCCUACUUAUUUGAAAGACAGAUUAUCUAAACAUUGGCAUGUGCCAUCCUCCAUCACAUAUUCAAUUUUCUCUGCAUAUAAUAUAUUUAUAUUUGCAGGUUCUUAGCCAUAGUUCCACAGAAAGUUGGAAGGUGUUUUCAGAUGUGAGGUAUUCAAAGAACAAGUUGUAGACAGAAAUAUGAAAAAAUGAUAAAUGCUGUCUGGAUGUCCAUAAUAUUUGGUAACCAAGGCAGGACAACUUCUUCCAGUGAGGCUUUU